rnacentral:rRNA from 1 species
UACGGAGGGUGCAAACGUUGCUCGGAAUCAUUGGGCGUAAAGCGCCCGUAGGUGGUCUCGCAAGUCGGGUGUGAAAGCCCUCGGCUUAACCGAGGAAGUGCAUUCGAAACUACGAGACUUGAAUACUGAAGAGGAUCGCGGAAUUCCCGGUGUAGAGGUGAAAUUCGUAGAUAUCAGGAGGAACACCACUGGCGAAGGCAGCUCGCUGGGACGGUACUGACGCUGAGACGCGAAAGCGUGGGGAGCAAACAGG